rnacentral:rRNA from 1 species
AACGAACGCUGGCGGCAGGCUUAACACAUGCAAGUCGAACGCAUCCUUCGGGGUGAGUGGCAGACGGGUGAGGAACGCGUGGGAACGUGCCCUUCAGUUCGGGAUAACCCAGGGAAACUUGGGCUAAUACCGGAUACGUGCGAGAGCAGAAAGAUUUAUCGCUGAAGGAUCGGCCCGCGUCUGAUUAGCUAGUUGGUGGGGUAAUGGCCCACCAAGGCGACGAUCAGUAGCUGGUCUGAGAGGAUGACCAGCCACAUUGGGACUGAGACACGGCCCAAACUCCUACGGGAGGCAGCAGUGGGGAAUAUUGGACAAUGGGCGCAAGCCUGAUCCAGCCAUGCCGCGUGAGUGAUGAAGGCCUUAGGGUUGUAAAGCUCUUUCGUCCGGGACGAUAAUGACGGUACCGGAAGAAGAAGCCCCGGCUAACUUCGUGCCAGCAGCCGCCGUAA